AGAGUUUGAUCCUGGCUCAGGACGAACGCUGGCGGCGUGCUUAACACAUGCAAGUCGAACGGAAAGGCCCUUCGGGGUACUCGAGUGGCGAACGGGUGAGUAACACGUGGGUGAUCUGCCCUGCACUCUGGGAUAAGCCUGGGAAACUGGGUCUAAUACCGGAUAGGACCACACACUUCAUGGUGAGUGGUGCAAAGCUUUUGCGGUGUGGGAUGAGCCCGCGGCCUAUCAGCUUGUUGGUGGGGUAAUGGCCCACCAAGGCGACGACGGGUAGCCGGCCUGAGAGGGUGACCGGCCACACUGGGACUGAGAUACGGCCCAGACUCCUACGGGAGGCAGCAGUGGGGAAUAUUGCACAAUGGGCGCAAGCCUGAUGCAGCGACGCCGCGUGAGGGAUGACGGCCUUCGGGUUGUAAACCUCUUUCAGUAGGGACGAAGCGAAAGUGACGGUACCUACAGAAGAAGGACCGGCCAACUACGUGCCAGCAGCCGCGGUAAUACGUAGGGUCCGAGCGUUGUCCGGAAUUACUGGGCGUAAAGAGCUCGUAGGUGGUUUGUCGCGUUGUUCGUGAAAACUCACAGCUUAACUGUGGGCGUGCGGGCGAUACGGGCAGACUAGAGUACUGCAGGGGAGACUGGAAUUCCUGGUGUAGCGGUGGAAUGCGCAGAUAUCAGGAGGAACACCGGUGGCGAGGGCGGGUCUCUGGGCAGUAACUGACGCUGAGGAGCGAAAGCGUGGGUAGCGAACAGGAUUAGAUACCCUGGUAGUCC
rnacentral:rRNA from 1 species